CCAUGUCAAGAUUUGGAGAAAAGGCAUUCCAUACAGAGAAACAGCAAGUGCAAAAUCCUUGGGAUGGGAAAGAUGGAUUUUGCCUUGAGCUGCUCGUCAAGUGGAAAUGCAUUUACUGAGAGAAGACUGGGGGAGAACAAUUUAUAAGGGAGGAAAUUAGAAGUUCUAUUCCAGGUCUGAACCCUGGUUCUUGUCUCCGGAUACCUGUGUGAAUUUCCUGAUUCCAAUUUUGGAUACCUCCCAGGAUGACAGCUUUUCAAUUUCCUUGUUGACAGAUUUUCAGGGUCUGUCUUGAGAAUGAUUAGCAGCUUUUAAUAUGUAGCCCCAAGUCUAUUCUUCCAUAGCCUGCACCCAUGUUUUGCUCAUAAAA